rnacentral:rRNA from 1 species
UACAGAGGUCUCAAGCGUUGUUCGGAUUCAUUGGGCGUAAAGGGUGUGUAGGUGGCGGCGUAAGUCGGGUGUGAAAUUUCGGAGCUUAACUCCGAAACUGCAUUCGAUACUGCGGUGCUUGAGGACUGGAGAGGAGACUGGAAUUCAUGGUGUAGCAGUGAAAUGCGUAGAGAUCAUGAGGAAGACCAGUGGCGAAAGCGGCUUCCUGGUCCAGCACCGACGUUCAGGCACGAAAGCGUGGGGAGCAAACAGG